UACAGAGACUGUGAGCGUUAUUCGGAUUCACUGGGCGUAAAGGGUGCGCAGGCGGCCAAGUGUGUGAGGCGUGAAAGCCCGGGGCUUAACCCCGGAAUUGCACCUCAAACUACAUGGCUAGAGCAUUGGAGAGGGUAGCAGAAUUCACGGUGUAGCAGUGAAAUGCGUAGAUAUCGUGAGGAAUACCAGAGGCGAAGGCGGCUACCUGGACAAUUGCUGACGCUCAGGCACGAAAGCGUGGGGAGCAAAAGGG
rnacentral:rRNA from 1 species